rnacentral:snRNA from 1 species
CAGUAUUACAGCUCUUUUUGAAUUUGCCUAUCGGGUUCUUUGCCCUCUACUGGAAGACCCUU